rnacentral:rRNA from 1 species
CCUACGGGAGGCAGCAGUGAGGAAUAUUGGUCAAUGGGCUUACGCCUGAACCAGCCAAGUCGCGUGAGGGAAGACUGCCCUAUGGGUUGUAAACCUCUUUUGUCAGGGAGCAAUUGGCGCUACGUGUAGCGUUAUCGAGAGUACCUGAAGAAAAAGCAUCGGCUAACUCCGUGCCAGCAGCCGCGGUAAUACGGAGGAUGCGAGCGUUAUCCGGAUUUAUUGGGUUUAAAGGGUGCGUAGGCGGAAUGCCAAGUCAGCGGUAAAAUCGCGGGGCUCAACCUCGCUCCGCCGUUGAAACUGGCGUUCUUGAGUGGGCGAGAAGUAUGCGGAAUGCGUGGUGUAGCGGUGAAAUGCUUAGAUAUCACGAAGAACUCCGAUUGCGAAGGCAGCUCACUGGACUGCAACUGACACUGAGGCUCGAAAGUGUGGGUAUCAAACAGGAUUAGAUACCCUUGUAGUC